UGGGAGGAUCACUUGAGCCCGGGAGGUGGAGGUUGCAGUGAGCCAAGAUUGUGACACUGCACUCCAGCCUGAGCAAGAGAGUGGGACCCCGUCUCAAAACAAAACAAACAAAAAAGACCAAACAUAUAGCUCAGACCCAAACCCUUUACAGAGGAGUUUCUAAAUUGGGAGAUUUGGCUAAAUACAAUGGCUCAUGUCUGUAAUCCCAGUAUUUUGGGAGGCUGAGGUGGGAUGAUUGUUUGAACCCAGGAGUUUGAGGCUGCAGUGAGCUGUGAUCACUGCACUCCAGCCAGAGUGACAGAACGAGACCCUCCUCUAAAAAAACAAAACAAAACAAAACAAAUAAACAAAUUGGGAGAUUUGGUAAAUUCACACCUGACCUGUAGAACUACCUGAGUUGAGAGUCACCCUUGGCUCUGGAUGUACCGUUUAAUUGCAGCUAAAAAUCUCUACCCAGGAUUCCUACUGGAGCAAGUCACACCGAGCCCAACCUUCCUAGCAAGAGUUUUCACAGCGUUCUAGCUCUCAUCACACUUGCAGCAUUCUGCAUCAGUUUACCCUGUACAGUCAAGCACAAAAGAAGACACCAGCAUCACCAGCAGGGGAAUUCUAGAGGUUUAGAAUUCUAUCAGCACAUGUGUCACUAAAAGCCAUUAUGGGGGGACUAUGUCAGAAUAUAUGUAACUAGCUGUCAGGUCUUUCCCAGUUGCCUCAGCCUUUCUACAUAGACUGGUCUUCGACUUGCCCUGAGUCCAGAAGUGGACUCUUACAGCAAUUUUACUCAGGAAUCUGUAGCAGGAAAACAGGUUCCUCUAUUAACAUCCAUGACUGAACCACAGAUUCGUCUAAUAGAAAUCACACUUCACCGGGCGUGGUGGCUCACGCCUGUAAUCCCAGCACUUUGGGAGCCGGGGCAGGCAGACCACCUGAAGUCGGGAGUUCAAGACCAGCCUGACCAACAUGGAGAAACCCCGUCUCUACUAAAAAUGCAAAAUUAGCCAGGCGUGGUGGUGCAUGCCUGUAGUCCCAGCUACUCGGGAGGCUGAGGCUGGAGAAUUGCUUGAACCAGGGAGGUUGUGGUGAGCUGAGAUCGUGCCGUUGUGCUCCAGCCUGGGCAAGAGCGAAACUCCGUCUCAAAAAAAAAAAAAAAAAAAAAAAAAAAUUCACCCUUCAACCAAAAGCUGGGCGCAGAAAGGGAAGCCCUUAGCUGACUAUAGGAGGUGCCUCUUGUGGCUCCUCGUGCUUCUUACACACCACCCCUAGCUUGAGUGAUGCCUCAGCCAGCUCACCCUCAUCCACACAAUCUCUAGGAAACAUGCUUCGAAUAUUGUCUUUGAAAAGACAACCAUGCAGAAAAUAAGCUUUCCUUUAGUGUGCAGUAUUUUAUUCAGUGCAAUUCUAAAGGCAAACUUGAAUUCAAGUGUACUCUUUCUGCACAAGAAAUGAAACUUCUCAGAGGUUCAAAAGCUGAGCUCUGCGGACUCCGUGACAAAAUCUACACAUCCACUGCCAACCCUCUUGGUUUCUGAAACCAACCUUUCUUCCUGCUGUCCUCUUUAAGAGCAAAACCCAACAUGUAUAAGGUCAGAGCAAGUGGUAGCCAGGAAAAGCUUGGGGACCUCUAUCAUAUCCAGAGGGCAUGAAGAAAGAAAACACGUCCUCUGCCAAAGGCAAAAUGGAGUUUGUGAAGCAUGAGCCACUCUACCAGGGCUACUUAAUCUUUCUAAGCAUUUGUC
rnacentral:lncRNA from 10 species